UCCAUGUUCAUUAAAAAGGGAACAUAGUGGCAGGUAAGCAGGAAUGGCUCUGGAUAAAUACCUGAAAACUCAAAUCUUAACCACAGAUAGCAGGCAGAGAGAGGGAAAGAGGGGGAGAGGAAGAGAGUCAGAGACCAAGAGGCAGACAGAGAUAACAGAAAAGAGAGACAGAGUGAAAUUGGACUGGUGUAGACUUUGGAAAUCAUAAAGUCUACGCGCUGUGACACACCUCCUCAAACAGGGCCACACCUUCUAAUCCUUCUGAAGUAGUUUCAAUGGCUGGAGACCAAGCAUUCAAAUAUAUUAGCCUAUGAAGCCAUAUUCAUUAGAACCAUUGCAUGCUUAAAAGCAUGCUUUCUAGUUGGCCACUCAGAGAUUUAAUUGAGUGAUUCACAGAAUCUUCUUCUGGGAUAUUAGUAAUAGAAACUCUUGGAAUACACACACUGGAAUUGAAAAUAUUUUCAUUAUCUAGGAACAAAAGAUUUAUAUCAUACAGCUCAGGAUGGCCUUGAACUUGUUAUAUAACAAGUGAUGACCUUGAAUUUCAGACUCUCCUGUCUCUAUCUCUCCCAUACUACAUUCACAGGUUUACUCCAUCAUAUCAUAGUGUGAUGUUGUGCUAUGGUCAAACCGCAGGCACACCACUCUCUAGGCAAAUGCUAUAUCCACAAAUUAAAUCCACAGCCCACAGCUCUCUAAAUACAUGGUUUUUUUUAGAUGUAGAUAUUAUAAACAUUUAAGCACUGAAAUUUCCAUGUAAAAUGCCCCAUGUAAAAUGUAGGCUACUGACCUGCUGGUGAAAAUGACCAAUCUUCUUAGGAGGAUGGAAGUGCGAACAUGUUCCUAUACCCUAGCUAAGAUUAAAGACUGAGCUAACACCUCCUCCACCUCCCAUGUGGGAUGUGUGUGUGGUGGGGGUGGGAGUGUCUGCGUUAGUGGUAGCAUGUUAUCAAUUUCACCUUAGCAUUAACCCCAAUUAUCCCGUUAGCAUGAGUUUCAAUAAAGACAAAGAACACAAAUGAAGCUUUUCUCAAGUCCUGGGAGUCUCAUCAAAAUCUUGGUUGCUGAGGAUAAUAAGAAAUUCCAUGCGUAACUAGAAUAACUAAGUGUCUAAGUUCAGUAAAUGAACAGGCAGUGGCAUAACAUUCUUAUAAAAGGGAUUUGCUAUAUUCAGUCUUCCGUCUCAAUAACUGUGCUCAGCUGUGAGCUGUGAGCUGAGUUCUUGAGGGGAGACAGGUGAUGAGUGAUGAGUGGUCCUCACCCAUUUCCUCGAUUCAGUCACCCCUUCCACUCCGUGGCUGUCAGUCAAGAAUUUAAGACUGGAAAAAAAAUGAAAAAGAUAGAAAACUAAAGAGAAGAACGACGAGAAGGAACAAUAACAGAAUAAUCAAUGACACUGGAAAAUUAAACUAUGCUUUUCUUUUGUGUGUGUGUGUGUGUGUGUGUGUGUGUGUGUGUGUGUGUGUGUGUGUGUGUCUGCUUUUCUUUUUAUAUGUGGAGGGGGUCAGCAGAGUUUUACUGCACUGUUCUUUAAGAAACUCCUCUGCAGGCUCCUCCAACAGCACUGCUAUUUAUACACAAUCUACUUCUGCUUUCUACUUCUGCUUUUAAAAAAGCCCAGGGUUUCCAAAAUCUACACCACACAUAUUCUCUGUUGGUGGUUUAUUUACUCUUCCAGAUAACUGUUUAGGGAGGUUUUAAGAGAUCCUCAAUUGACACCGUUAUUAGGAGUCUGAUCCCUGGAUUUUGUGCAGCUUUGAUUCACUGAAUGGCAAGGAACAUGACUGCCUCAGACAGCACUCUCUGCUCUUAUGUCACAAGCUUCUCCAGGACCCAGGACCACCAACCCAGGGGUGGCACCACACACAAUUGGCUGUCCCCUCUAAUCAAUAACAAGUUUAAAAAUACAGCUGGAUCUUACGGAACAUUGUCUCAAUUGAGGUUCCCUCCCUUCAAAUGACUCUAGCUUGUAUCAAGUUGACAUAAAAUUUAGCCAGCACAAUUACUGAAGAAUCCAUUCUCCUGUGUGUCAAUGAUGGCAGUGGUCUCUUCUAUGCUGUCUGUCAUCUGCCAUGCUCUCCUCCCUGCACACAGUCCACUAUCAUGUGGAAGCAGUGUAAAUGUGCUCAAUUACAGCUGAUGAACCUCAAAACUUUCCAAUGGUUUCAUGCCAUACUGAAGUAUAAUCCAGUGUCCCCUCAGUGUCCUCCAAGGCCCUAUACAAUCUAGAUACCUCUUCCAGUUGAUUACUUUGCUGGGAUAUCGCCUACUACUGUGUCCUCCUUACCUAAGAACUACAUUAGUCUUUUUACUUAUCUCAAAGAAAACCAGAUGUACUCUCACUGCUGGGAAGUUGCAAUAUAUGAACUUCUUUUACAAGAAUUGACUGGCCCUGUCUCCCCCCAUCCCCAAAUGGUAGAACUAUCACUGGGAAAAGACACAGAGAAAAUAUGUAUAAAACCUAGGUCAGAAGAAGAAGAAGAAGAAGAAGAAGAAGAAGAAGAAGAAGAAGAAGAAGAAGAAGAAGAAGA